CAUCCAAGGAAGGCAGCAGGCGCGUAAAUUACCCAAUCCUGACACAGGGAGGUAGUGACAAUAAAUAACAAUGCCGGGCCUUUUAGGUCUGGCAAUUGGAAUGAGAACAAUUUAAAUCCCUUAUCGAGGAUCAAUUGGAGGGCAAGUCUGGUGCCAGCAGCCGCGGUAAUUCCAGCUCCAAUAGCGUAUAUUAAAGUUGUUGCAGUUAAAAAGCUCGUAGUUGGAUUUCUGGCGGGAGUGGCCGGUCCGCCCCAUUGUGGGUGUGUACACGUGUCGCCUCUUGCCAUCUUUGGGGAGAGCUUGCCUGGCAUUAGGUUGUCGGGUAAGGGAUCCCCAUCCUUUACUGUGAAAAAAUUAGAGUGUUUAAAGCAGGCUUAGGCCGUUGAAUACAUUAGCAUGGAAUAACGAUAUAAGACCUUGGUUUUAUUUUGUUGGUUUGUAAACCGAGGUAAUGAUUAAUAGGGUCAGUUGGGGGUAUCCGUAUUUCGUAGUCAGAGGUGAAAUUCUUGGAUUUACGAAAGACGAACUACUGCGAAAGCAUUUACCAAGGA
rnacentral:rRNA from 1 species